UGAAAAUGAAAAAGGGGCAACAAAGAAGGAAACUAAGGAAGUACUGAAGCUAGCUGAUGACAGGAAGGUUGGAAAACGCAAGGCUGCUAUUAAGGCAGAUAAGAGUAGCAAAAGACAG